rnacentral:lncRNA from 1 species
AAUUUUCCAAUAUAUAAUUUUACUUAUAUAAAUAUGCAUUUGGAAAAAUUUGAAUAACCAAAAUAUAAUCAUUUUAAAUUAAACCCAAUAAUAAUGAGGCUAAAAUUAACUUAAAUAAAAACUCAUUAUUAAAUAUAUAAAAAUUCCGGGUGUUACAUUCUCCCCCCCUUAAAAAAAAAUUCGACCUCGAAUUUUAAAAGAAAAUGGGCUACACUCUAAGACUGAAACUAAUUAGGAAUCUCUCAUCUCCAACUCGGCUUUUCGGAAACUUUCCUCGGCAGAAACUAAACUAAACCACAAGACUCAUCAAUAAAAUCCUUAAAUAAAACUGGCGAACCUGAAAAUCCGCUAUCCUCAUUUACUACUCCUCGGAAACCAAAUCUUCACUUGCUUCCACACACUAAGGGUCCAACACGAGCAAAGAUCGAAAAUACACUUCCUCAGCUCAGACUUACAAACAACUGGAUUUAACCUCAAAAAACAUUACUAAUACUUGGCGGCAAGUCCAACUUACAUGCCACCUCACCAACCUGCCGACAAAACCAAGGGUUUCCACACAAGAAGGGCCAAUUCUGAUCCUGCCAAAAAUCCACUCACCAAAUUUCCUUCCUAAUGACGCGCCCCUUGCACGUACAGAAAAAAAAAUCCUUAACAUCUACAUCACAUCAUACUCGACAUAACAUCCAUCUGAUCGCAUCAACCGACACAACCAUGCCAUCCUGACACAAGAUUCCUCCUUGACUGAAAUCCAAAAGCCUCCCUUAUAAUCUAACAUGGGGCCUACAGCUCCACAGACUUACUCUCUCAGCAACUCAACUCGUCAUCCAGAGACUUCUCAAGCUAACACUAUUUACUUUGAAAAAUUUACUUAUUUAUUUACUUUAUAAUCAUCACUGAUAAAGCUUUAUCAUCUUGGAAAAACACUUUUGUAAAAUCAUAAAAUCUCCAGCCAUUUUUCUUUAUAUAAAAUUCUACAAUAUCGCGCACCAGGGUGAUGAUGCCCCUAUCACCAAGGGUUGCAAUGCAGAAUGUAUGAUGCAUGUCCUAAAAUGAAUUUAUAUAUGCCUAACAGUGAAAUGCCAUAUGCAUUCUUACGGGACUGGGCGCAAUAUUGUAUUUUAAAACACUUGUUCUACUUAAAAAAAUAAAUAAUGUUCGCUUAAGUUUCUCUGGAUUAUGAGCGUCCGAAAACACUCCUGCCACCUUUCUUAAGCUUCUUACAACCACAAAACUCAACCAUAACAGCCGACAUCCGCUCGACUUCCCAGGCACUACUUUCGGCGCUACUCAAAAAGACGAUGCCUGAUGCGAUGACGAGGCGGUCCAUGACACGACUGCAACCACGCUCUAUACUAAAACUGACUGCGGUGCCCACUAUCUAAACCACAAUCAAAG